CAGUUUAGUGUAAUUCAUCGGCUGUACAAAGCAGAAACUAUUAGAAUGGAUUCUGCUCUUUUACUGCUUAUACUUUCCAGCCUGGCUUACGUCCAGUGUCAGUCUCAACAGAAGGUCUCUCAGUGGCCCUCACAGACAGUGGUGACCCAGGGCUCCUCUGUGGAGCUCCAGUGCAGUCAGAGUGGCUCUGAUACCUACAUGUACUGGUACCGCCAGCAGAGCUCUACAGGACUACAGCUUGUCAUGUUUUCUGUGUACCUGAAUGAGCCAGAGAGGGGAGAGAACAUCAGCGCUAGAUUCACCAGCACCAGACCAAAGACAGAGAAUAUCUCUCUCACUAUCACUCAGACAGAGGAGUCUGACACAGGUGUUUACUUCUGUGCAGUGAGUCCCACAGCAAGCGACUCUGUCCCUCCUCCUGCAACAAAACACAAGAUUAUUAGAGGAGAAGGCUGACCAGUAGAUGGAGCUAGUACGGGCAACAUCUACAUAACCUCCAUGUUACACACGAGUGUGACCUCACAGAAAUGAGACGCAAUAUUCAGUUCCUCAGAGCAGAUCUGAGAUGAGCUGUGAAGAGUGUGACUCUGUAGGAGUCAGCUCAUGUUCUGAAACAGAGGAAAGGUGCUCUCAGUGAUGAUCCAUCAGAACACACCAUGCUACUGAAGAUGGACACAGUUUGCUAUCGACCUUCAUGUGCUCUCUACAUCAUCUAUCUGUUUGGGUUCUCAGGAGCCAUCAAUGUUGAGCAGUCCCCAUCAUCUCUCUUUGGGAAACUCAGUGAUGAUGUCCAGCUCACCUGCCAAUAUGAUGACAGCAGCUAUGGCAGAAUGUAUUGGUACCAGCGAGUUAAAGGGAAACAGUCAUUAGAGCUUGUUGGAUUCCUUAACUAUGACAAUGUCAACCAAGAGGAAAAGUACACAAGCAAAUUUAAUUUGACAGGAAAUGGAAAUAAGAAAGGCUCUUUGUUCAUCUUAAAGUUAAAUGCUGAAGACAGCGGCACAUAUUUCUGUGCAGCUAGUCAGCACAGUGGUACAGAGUGUCUUGCACUUUCACAAAAAACCCACCAACCAUAACUGCUGGCUAAACAUGCCUAAGAACGUUUCUUUUUCUCUGUGACUGCAUUCACUGACACAUCCAAACACAAUAAAACCUUGCUUCAAUGUU